AUUUGAAUAGCUUAUAAAAAGCGUGACAUUGAAGAUGUUAAUAAGGUUAUUUACCUUCAAAUA
rnacentral:tRNA from 1 species